AUUGAACGCUGGCGGCAUGCUUUACACAUGCAAGUCGAACGGUAACAGGUCUUCGGAUGCUGACGAGUGGCGAACGGGUGAGUAAUGCAUCGGAACGUGCCCAGUCGUGGGGGAUAACGCAGCGAAAGCUGUGCUAAUACCGCAUACGAUCUAUGGAUGAAAGCGGGGGACCGUAAGGCCUCGCGCGAUUGGAGCGGCCGAUGUCAGAUUAGGUAGUUGGUGGGGUAAAGGCCCACCGAGCCAACGAUCUGUAGCUGGUCUGAGAGGACGACCAGCCACACUGGGAAUGAGAGACGGCCCAGACUACUACGGGAGGCAGCAGUGGGGAAUUUUGGACAAUGGGCGAAAGCCUGAUCCAGCCAUGCCGCGUGCAGGAUGAAGGCCUUCGGGUUGUAAACUGCUUUUGUACGGAACGAAAAGGUUUGGCCUAAUAAGCUGAGCUCAUGACGGUACCGUAAGAAUAAGCACCGGCUAACUACGUGCCAGCCGCCGCCGUAA
rnacentral:rRNA from 1 species